rfam:Penicillium expansum strain MD-8 contig349, whole genome shotgun sequence.
GGCCGCUUGGCCUAAUGGUUAAGGCACCCGACUCCUAGUUAAUAGUGUCAUCGGGAGAUUGUGAGUUCGAAUCUCAUAGUGGUCG